CGCUGGCGGCGUGCCUAAUACAUGCAAGUCGAGCGAACAGAUAAGGAGCUUGCUCCUUUGAAGUUAGCGGCGGACGGGUGAGUAACACGUGGGUAACCUACCUAUAAGACUGGGAUAACUUCGGGAAACCGGAGCUAAUACCGGAUAACAUUUAGAACCGCAUGGUUCUAAAGUGAAAGAUGGUUUUGCUAUCACUUAUAGAUGGACCCGCGCCGUAUUAGCUAGUUGGUAAGGUAACGGCUUACCAAGGCGACGAUACGUAGCCGACCUGAGAGGGUGAUCGGCCACACUGGAACUGAGACACGGUCCAGACUCCUACGGGAGGCAGCAGUAGGGAAUCUUCCGCAAUGGGCGAAAGCCUGACGGAGCAACGCCGCGUGAGUGAUGAAGGGUUUCGGCUCGUAAAACUCUGUUAUUAGGGAAGAACAAAUGUGUAAGUAACUUGUUGCACAAUUCUUGACGGUAACCUAAUCAGAAAGCCACGGGCUAACUACCGUGCCCAGCAGGCCGCGGUAAUACGUAGGUGGCCAAGCGUUAAUCCGGAAUUUAUUGGGCGUAAAGCGCGCCGUAGGCGGUUUCUUAAAGUCUGAUGUGAAAGGCCCACGGCUCAAACCGUUGGAGGGUCAUUGGAAACUGGGGAAACUUGAGUGCAGAAAGAGGAAAAGUGGAAUUCCAUGUGUAGCGGUGAAAUGCGCAGAGAUAUGGGAGGAACACCAGUGGCGAAGGGCGACUUUCUGGGUCUGUAACUUGACGCUGAUGUGCGGAAAGCGUGGGGGAUCAAACAGGGAUUAGGAUACCCUGGGUAGUCCACGCCGUAAACGAAUGAGUGCUAAAGUGUUAGGGGGUUUCCGCCCCUUAGUGCUGCAGCUAACGCAUUAAGCACUCCGCCUGGGGAGUACGACCGCAAGGUUGAAACUCAAAGGAAUUGACGGGGAACCCGCACAAGCGGUGGAGCAUGUUGGUUUAAUUCGGAAGCAACGCGAAGAACCUUACCAAAUCCUUGGACAUCCCUUUGGAAAACUCUAGAGAUAGAGGCCUUUCCCCUUCCGGGGGACAAAGUUGACAGGUGGUGCAUGGUUGGUCGUCAGCUCGUGUCGUGAGAUGUUGGGUUAAGUCCCGCAACGAGCGCAACCCUUAAGCUUAGUUGCCAUCAUUAAGUUGGGCACUCUAGGUUGACUGCCGGUGACAAACCGGAGGAAGGUGGGGAUGACGUCAAAUCAUCAUGCCCCUUAUGAUUUGGGCUACACACGUGCUACAAUGGACAAUACAAAGGGCAGCUAAACCGCGAGGUCAUGCAAAUCCCAUAAAGUUGUUCUCAGUUCGGAUUGUAGUCUGCAACUCGACUACAUGAAGCUGGAAUCGCUAGUAAUCGUAGAUCAGCAUGCUACGGUGAAUACGUUCCCGGGUCUUGUACACACCGCCCGUCACACCACGAGAGUUUGUAACACCCGAAGCCGGUGGAGUAACCAUUUAUGGAGCUAGCCGUCG
rnacentral:rRNA from 2 species